ensembl:lncRNA
GCAUUUUUCUGGCAAAAAAAAGGGGGGGAGGCACACAAGAAUUCCCUGAUAAUCCAAAACCGUGGCCUCAUAGGCGUCAUUUUCCUUCUGGGCCAGUGAAGGACCGCGUCCUGCGGCCCCUUCCCCGUCCGCACAGGAGCACGCACCGCCCCUCACUCUGAGCCUGGCCGUGAUACAGGCACCGGCCGCCCGCAGGCACCGGAGUGUGCCAGCGUUCUGGAAACUCGCCGCACUUCAGAGAGGAACUGACGCCGUGAUACCGACCCACAGGAGCACACAGGACAGCUGACAGCAGGCCCACGGAGGGCCGAGCACCCGGACGACAGCCAGAGCCUGCCUCUGCAAGGUGGUCUCUGUCCCCCGUGGACUUUCCCCAGCUGGCGAGAUGACCCCAGCAGCUCCAGUUACCUCCUGUCAGACUCAGUGCUUCUGUCCAGGGACCUGUAAAGUCCUGGCCUGACACCAUCGGCUCCAGAUACAAAAUCUUUGCCCAACUCUCCCUGCAGGAGAGAUGAGGAUUUGCUAUGGAAGGACGGCUACAAGGAGUUGUUAGGCUCAACUCUACAAGACAGAGAACAAGACACACGGAGUUUUCACUCAUAUAAAAAGUGCAGUGGGGGGCAGUCCAUGACUUCACGGAGAUGUCAAGGAGGGGGCUUCCAUUCCCAAGACCGUCUCAUGGCCCACACUGGCUGAGGUCGCUCUGGCUGUCAUGUCCGCCCUCCAGGCCAGCAGCAGGAGGAAAGAGAAAGGCACAUUCUCAUGUUUUUAAGGAAACUUCCUGGAAAUCUCAGUUUAUACUUAACAUCUCUUUGGCCAAAAGUUAGUCACAUUACUAAGCUUGACAGCAGAGGAGGCUGGAGAAGGUGGGCACAAUUGCAGGGGCGUAUUUGGGCACAUGCUUCCCCCAGGGGAGGCAGGGGUUCCAUCAGGGGCGGGGAGAAGAGAACUGAUGUUCAUCGGCAUCUAGCAGUGGCUUCCACCAGCGCCACGAGAGGGUGGGAGCCUCGAACAUUCAAAAUGAGAUUAUGUGACACAGGCCAGGAUGAGGGCAGGGUGAGACCUUGGGCGCCAAGUUUAAAGGCACCCAAAGUCAGUAACCAGGACAGAUCGUUUUCAAUGUAAUAUUUUUAGAAAUCAAAAUUAAUGCUGAAAACUCCAUGAGGAAUAAACUAUCAAAAUUUUAAGUGAAGACAGGAUCCGCAGCGAGUCGGCAGCCGUGCGAGACCAGAUCCCAGCUUGAGAGAACACCUCCUGACGCUGGCGCCGCAUCAGGCGCUCGUGCAGCCACCGUGGCCCGGCCGGCCUGGUGGCGGGCUUCUCCCGCUGGAGGAAGAGGAGCGACACUGAAUAAGAUCUGUGGCUCAACUUCCCCUCUCGCCCCUGUGCCCCGAGGCUGAAUCUCCCUAAGCUCCCUCCGUUGUCCUGCGGUGUAGACACUGAGCUGGGAGCCAGUGGAGCAGCCUCAGUGCCUGUGGCCGAGGCUAGAGGCUGGGGGUCGAGGCCCGCAGGGCAGAGUGAGGACGCAGCAGGGACGUCGCCUGGGCAGGACCAGUCCUGGGGGAGCUGUCAGCCUCUUCCCUGAGGACACCUCACCCCGGGGCCCCUCGAGCAGGGACAGGCAGCUGAGCACCGUCCCCCGCCCAGUCUCCCAUCCUUGCCCAGCCCCUGCACUCAGGCCAGGCAGGCCAGGUCCCCACCCCGCACGGAGGUGAGGACGCCCCAGCUGAUCCCUGAGUGACCCCGUGGAGGGCUGCAGCCAGGGCCCUGAAGGCCUGAACACACUGCCUUGACGUGCUGGAACCAAGAG